CGUCUAAUUUGGGAUUUGCAUCCCAGAACGCUAUUCGUGUUUCCAGCUGGUGUCAACCGUCUGAAGCAGAAUGGUUUUGGGAAAUAAACACCUGACACGUCACCAUGUACUGCUCAUUCUGACAUAUGUCUUCAGAGUUGAUACACUUGAAUGUCAUCAAACUGAGUAUCAGCUCAACGAGAAGCAAUGUUGUCCAAAGUGUCCAAUUGGAAGUCAGGUUAGGAGCGACUGCACCAAACGUGGCAGCACAUCAUGCCAGCUGUGCCUGAACGGAACCUACAUGAAUAUCCCGACUGGCCUCAAAAACUGCUUGCCGUGCACAAACUGCAAUGCAGUCCUCUACGUUCUCCUGCACACCCGAGGCUCAGUCAUGAACAGAUUUCAUACUGUUACUAUGUUUAGGUGCAAGGACCGUCCUGUUCAGUUUGCCUCGUCUGAUUUCAUCUGGUUCCCACGGUCUUCCCUCAAUUGUCGUCAGUUUUAAAUCAUCACCCAAGGAUCACAGAACCUACUCUGCGCCAAGCUACAAUUGUCAUAUAACAGAUCUGGUCUGGCGAUAAAGAAGGCGUGUACCAGGGAGUCAGACGCAGUGUGUAAACCACUUGAUGGCUUCUUCUGUGUGGACCAAG